rnacentral:rRNA from 1 species
CAGGCCUAACACAUGCAAGUCGAGCGGAUGAAGAGAGCUUGCUCUCUGAUUCAGCGGCGGACGGGUGAGUAAUGCCUAGGAAUCUGCCUGAUAGUGGGGGACAACGUUUCGAAAGGAACGCUAAUACCGCAUACGUCCUACGGGAGAAAGCAGGGGACCUUCGGGCCUUGCGCUAUCAGAUGAGCCUAGGUCGGAUUAGCUAGUUGGUGAGGUAACGGCUCACCAAGGCGACGAUCCGUAACUGGUCUGAGAGGAUGAUCAGUCACACUGGAACUGAGACACGGUCCAGACUCCUACGGGAGGCAGCAGUGGGGAAUAUUGGACAAUGGGCGAAAGCCUGAUCCAGCCAUGCCGCGUGUGUGAAGAAGGUCUUCGGAUUGUAAAGCACUUUAAGUUGGGAGGAAGGGCAUUAACCUAAUACGUUAGUGUUUUGACGUUACCGACAGAAUAAGCACCGGCUAACUUCGUGCCAGCAGCCGCGGUAAUACGAAGGGUGCAAGCGUUAAUCGGAAUUACUGGGCGUAAAGCGCGCGUAGGUGGUUUGUUAAGUUGAAUGUGAAAGCCCCGGGCUCAACCUGGGAACUGCAUCCAAAACUGGCAAGCUAGAGUAUGGCAGAGGGUGGUGGAAUUUCCUGUGUAGCGGUGAAAUGCGUAGAUAUAGGAAGGAACACCAGUGGCGAAGGCGACCACCUGGGCUAAUACUGACACUGAGGUGCGAAAGCGUGGGGAGCAACAGGAUUA